rnacentral:rRNA from 1 species
UAGUGAGUUUGAUCCUGGCUCAGGAUGAACGCUGGCGGUCUGCUUAACACAUGCAAGUCGAACGGUGUAGAAAUACAUAGUGGCGGACGGGUGAGUAACGCGUGAGAAUCUGCCUUUUGGUCGGGGACAACCACUGGAAACGGUGGCUAAUACCGGAUGAGCCUACGGGUAAAAAAUUUAUUGCCAAAAGAGGAGCUCGCGUCUGAUUAGCUAGUUGGUGUGGUAAGAGCGCACCAAGGCGACGAUCAGUAGCUGGUCUGAGAGGAUGAUCAGCCACACUGGGACUGAGACACGGCCCAGACUCUACGGGGAGCAGCAGUGGGGAAUUUCCGCAAUGGGGCAAAGCCUGACGAGCAAGACCGCGUGAGGGGAGAAGGCUCGUGGGUUGUAAACCCUCUUUUCGUCAAGGUAAGAAAAAACUGACGGUACCUGAGGAAUUAGC